GGGGAGAAAGGGGAUGGUCCCCCCACGGGCUACAAACCCGUUGGCCUACUUGUGUCCCAGGUGGAAGUCCGGUUCGAUUCCGACUUUUCCCCUCCA
rnacentral:tRNA from 1 species